GAUUGGCUCAGGAUGAACGCUAGCUACAGGCUUAACACAUGCAAGUCGAGGGGAAACGAUAGAGAAAGCUUGCUUUUUCUAGGCGUCGACCGGCGCACGGGUGAGUAACGCGUAUCCAACCUACCCACCACUUGGGGAUAACCUUGCGAAAGUAAGACUAAUACCCAAUGAUAUCUCUAGAAGACAUCUGAAAGGGAUUAAAGAUUUAUCGGUGAUGGAUGGGGAUGCGUCUGAUUAGCUUGUUGG
rnacentral:rRNA from 1 species